GAUGAACGCUGGCGGCGUGCCUAAUACAUGCAAGUCGAGCGAACAGAUGAGGAGCUUGCUCCUCUGACGUUGCGGCGGACGGGUGAGUAACACGUGGAUAACCUACCUAUAAGACUGGGAUAACUUCGGGAAACCGGAGCUAAUACCGGAUAAUAUAUUGAACCGCAUGGUUCAAUAGUGAAAGACGGUUUUGCUGUCACUUAUAGAUGGAUCCGCGCCGCAUUAGCUAGUUGGUAAGGUAACGGCUUACCAAGGCGACGAUGCGUAGCCGACCUGAGAGGGUGAUCGGCCACACUGGAACUGAGACACGGUCCAGACUCCUACGGGAGGCAGCAGUAGGGAAUCUUCCGCAAUGGGCGAAAGCCUGACGGAGCAACGCCGCGUGAGUGAUGAAGGUCUUCGGAUCGUAAAACUCUGUUAUUAGGGAAGAACAAAUGUGUAAGUAACUAUGCACGUCUUGACGGUACCUAAUCAGAAAGCCACGGCUAACUACGUG
rnacentral:rRNA from 1 species